rnacentral:lncRNA from 10 species
GUCCUGGGCUUUAAGCCCCUCUCCCUUAACCAGCUAAUCCUGAAGAGAGGCUCACACUUGGUGAGUGUGGGGUGGCGCUGGGCAUCCCACGGCAACCAAGGGACAGCCCCGUUAGAGUUAAUCACUCCGGCUUCACAGAUGGAGGAACUGAGUCUUGGAAAGGGGAGACUGGAGGGGGCCACCCAGCAGGUAAAAGCCAGAUCUGGGAGGCUGCUGCAGAAACAGUUCAUGUAAGAAUCUUGAGCAACUCUUAAAAGUCCAUGAAACACGUCAGUGUUACAUUCUAAUCUAACGCUCUCAUAAUCAUGACAAAGGAACCUGUUGAAGCUGAACACGCAAAAGACCGAAAGGACGAGAGCCUCCCACGCCGUCUUACCCUGAAGCCAGUCUCUGAAGUAGUGCAGCCACAUUUUGGGAAGCUGUUUGUUUUCUUCCAACAUGACAUACUUCACGUUACUGAAACUCCUGUGUAGGUCGUAAAGUACAAUGUCCGUAAGGUCCAGCCCGUCUCUCACUCGGGUGGUGCCAUAAAGGCUGACCCCCAGCAAGCCCAGAAAAAGGAAGAUCACCACUACCUGGAACAGAAGAGGCACAAGGAAAAAGAAGAAAAGUAGAAGCAAUCUGAUGAACUCCAAAGGUUCUGUUAUUUUUUUGAAGACAGGAAGAGCCUUAAGUUGUGGCAGAUUACCUUGGCUUUUGGUUUCAAGAGGAAAGGAGCAUAGUGCUUCUCAGCAAAAGAUGAGAGUGUCCACUUCGUACAGGGGGGCUCGAGGCAGUGGAGGCUGGAGUCGGAGAACUGGGAGAGCAGGUCCCUUGUGGAGCUGGUGCUCUCUGGGCUCUGGCAGCUGAGGGUGUCCUGUGUCACGGUGACGGGCUGCACAGAGAUCUCGGAGCGCGGCUCAGCGGUGGUGUAGUACACGUGCGUGUGGGGGUCGUACUCCGUGCGGAGCUGGACAGUGGACUGCAUGGUAAUCUGCGUUUCAUGGGCAAAGCUGUGGCUGCUGUAGGGAGGUGGGGGGCUGUAGCGGGUAUUGUCGUGUGUGUCGGUGUAGGCCUGAGGUUCAACCUGAAUCACUCUGCUGACGCAGGGGCUGAAAGGAGGGGAAACAUGUUGCAAUGUUAUGCUGAAACAGGGAAAUGGUGCUUUCAUUCUGCCAUUUUUCACUGUGUACGGAGAAUACCCAUUUUACACAGCUCUGACUUAGGAGAGAAACAUCACAUUGCUGAAUUCCAGAAACAUCGCCUGGUUGAUAACAUCACCUGGUUCAUCGCCUGGUGAACUAGAUAAAAGUCAGUCUGAGGAGGCCACAUGGAGGACUGAUCCUAAAUUUGGCUUUCAAAAGCAAGUUCCAUGAUGAUGAAUCCUUCAAAGCACAAUUCCAAACAAAACCAAACCACCAUCAAAGGACUAUAUAUUUUCUAGAUGGGUGUUUUUCAAUCUUGUUCUGCUCUAAUGCAGAGAUAUGAAACAUUCCUACAAUCGGCAACAUCAGUUCAUGAUGGAAAAAGGGGUCAUCGGAACCAGCAUCUUGAGGGCUGUGAGACUGUUCAGCUGCGGCAGGGGAGAAGGAAGCCCAGGGACUCUGAUGUCCCCCUAGGGAAGCAGCCUCUGUCCAAUCUCUCCCCUACGUUCUCCACACCAGCACAAACCCCGUUACCCACAUUCCUUUAUAAGUCCACAGGCUGAAAGAGUUCUCUCACAGCACCAUUCUGCACCCAAUCAAAAGGCCACAGCAGUCUGAAAAUGUACCUUGUAAAACAGCAGAAAAUAUCCAGUCUCCUGUCCUCGCGUCGAUAUAAAUCCAUGCUGAGAAUUGCAGGAAAAAUGAGCAGAACCAUGGCAAAAUUGAACACCACUACUACCGCUGCCUGGGAGCAGAAAAAAAAUUCAGAGGUCACCAACAUGCCUCCGCCCAAUCAGAGGACUGCUUCGAAAAUAAAGAUGCUUUUAAACAAU